CCUACGGGAGGCAGCAGUGGGGAAUAUUGGACAAUGGGCGAAAGCCUGAUCCAGCCAUGCCGCGUGUGUGAAGAAGGCCUUCGGGUUGUAAAGCACUUUCAGUGGGGAAGAAAGCCUUGGGGCUAAUACCCUCGAGGAAGGACAUCACCCACAGAAGAAGCACCGGCUAACUCCGUGCCAGCAGCCGCGGUAAUACGGAGGGUGCGAGCGUUAAUCGGAAUUACUGGGCGUAAAGCGCGCGUAGGCGGUCUGAUAAGCCGGUUGUGAAAGCCCCGGGAUCAACCUGGGAACGGCAUCCGGAACUGUCAGGCUAGAGUGCAGGAGAGGAAGGUAGAAUUCCCGGUGUAGCGGUGAAAUGCGUAGAGAUCGGGAGGAAUACCAGUGGCGAAGGCGGCCUUCUGGACUGACACUGACGCUGAGGUGCGAAAGCGUGGGUAGCAAACAGGAUUAGAUCCCCCAGUAGUC
rnacentral:rRNA from 1 species